CUACGGGAGGCAGCAGUGAGGAAUCUUCGUCAAUGGGGGCAACCCUGAACGAGCAACGCCGCGUGCGGGAGGACGCCCUUCGGGGUGUAAACCGCUUUUCUGGGGGACGAGACAGGACGGUACCCCAGGAAGAAGUCUCGGCUAACUACGUGCCAGCAGCCGCGGUAAUACGUAGGAGACGAGCGUUGUCCGGAGUUACUGGGCGUAAAGGGUGCGCAGGCGGCCUCGCGCGUCGCGAGUGAAAUCUCCCGGCUCAACUGGGAGGGUGGUCGCGAGACGGCGGGGCUUGAGGCUCGGUGAGGGGCGUGGAAUUCCGGGUGGAGCGGUGAAAUGCGUAGAGAUCCGGAGGAACACCGACGGCGUAGGCAGCGCCCUAGACGAGACCUGACGCUCAGGCACGAAAGCGCGGGGAGCGAACAGGAUUAGAUACCCUGGU
rnacentral:rRNA from 1 species